rnacentral:rRNA from 1 species
AGUUGGUGGAGUGAUCUGUCAGGUUAAUUCCGUUAACGAACGAGACUUUUUCUUACUAUUUAAGGGCAAAGACACCUUUAACCUUUUCUAGGAGGACAUCAUGUAUUUAGCAUGAGGAAGCAUAAAGCAAUAACAGGU